GAGGAAUAUUGGUCAAUGGGCGCAAGCCUGAACCAGCCAUCCCGCGUGCAGGAAGACGGCCCUAUGGGUUGUAUACUGCUUUUCCAGGGGGAGAAACUUUCGCACGUGUUGCGCAAUUGACGGUACCCUGGGAAUAAGCAUCGGCUAACUCCGUGCCAGCAGCCGCGGUAAUACGGAGGAUGCGAGCGUUAUCCGGAUUCAUUGGGUUUAAAGGGUGCGUAGGCGGACUAUUAAGUCAGUGGUGAAAUCCUGCAGCUUAACUGCAGAACUGCCAUUGAUACUGAUAGCCUUGAGUUUGGUUAAGGUAGGCGGAAUGUGUAAUGUAGCGGUGAAAUGCUUAGAUAUUACACAGAACACCAAUUGCGUAGGCAGCUUACUGAGCCGACACUGACGCUGAGGCACGAAAGCGUGGGGAUCGAACAG
rnacentral:rRNA from 1 species